AAUAAGUCGCCUGGACAUUCAUUUUUCACGAGUUUUUUAGAGGGAUCAGUCAAAGGCGUUUAGUGGCAAGCCGGGCCCAAUGACUGGGAACACUGGAAACUACAAUUCUGUGGUUGGCAUCGGGGAAUACCUCCUUUGACUCCUUAUUCGAGGUGUGGUAUCUUUCCGGCAUCUCCUCAGACUCUGGUUGGCUUCAUCGGUAGCCAUGGCAUCAGCCUCCAAGCAACGGUAUAGAGCUAGAAAGGGCUACUAGAGUAGGUGAAGAGUCUAACCAUUUCAAACUGUGAUUCAGGUUUAUUGAAAGGCUGGAAAAUAAUGUGGAAUAAGAUAUAGAUGCAGUAGUUUGAAGUCGCUGUGCUUUAAAACGCAUCCUUGCUAAAUUGAUGAGAAUGGAUGACUACAGGAAACGUAGGACAUUUUCCUUACUCCACUGAGAAAAAUGUUGAAAGAUUCCUCAGGCUUCAGCUGUCAUUGGUGAUGUCAUCACAGUCAUCACAACCAUAUUUGUAAUGCCUGUGCAUUCAGUGUAUUCCUGCCUUUUUGAAGGUAAUGCAAGUCUUAAAUCAAAAGACUAACUCUGAAGUAAUACCCAUGAUAUCCAGCUUUAUAGCUGCAAAGAAUAACUUUGGAUGCAAAGAUGAUUAUGCGUGCAUUUACCUAGUAUACAUGUUUCCUUUUUUUUUGCAAGGUACUGUACAUUAAGUUCUUAUUCACCAUAACACUACAGCUGAUACAACCAGGUACCAGGCAGCAGAAGUGUAUGUUAGCCUUUGACAUCCAUAUAUUACACACAGCGCUUAUAUAAUUUAGGGAGGGAGUGCAAAAUGAAGUCAGUGUUGCAUCAAAACGACCUGUAAUUUAUGCCCCAGCCGCUGAACGUAUGCAGGCUUUGCGGAGUCGUCGUCCUGAGCCAGAGUCUGGUUCCUCUAAAACGUUGGCUGCGGAGUGAAUGGUAUUAAGUAACCAGACGGCCAAAUGUUUCUGAUACCACAUUGUCCUGCUGCCAUAAUUGCUUGAGCAAGUAUUUGGCACAAAAAGCACAUUCAUGUUUCUUCUCUCUGCCUUGGAAAUGGCUAUGAAAGGAAUAAUUCCUUUAGGUGGUGAUGUUGUGGUAUUAAGCUUAAAAAUCAAAGUAUAAACUUUGCCUGAGUAUGGUAAGCCGGUGUCUGUGUUACAGUACUUGCAUGCUUCUGGGGUCCUGUGACGUUACAAGCCAAGAAACAUACACUUGAGAAGUGUAUUAUAUAUGUCUAAUAAGCAGCAUCGCUCCCCCCCCCUUUACUGUUUAGAAAACUAAACAUUGUUUUUUAUCUUUGACCACAACGCCGACAGCGAGCCCUUCAAGGAAAAUUAGCCUCUGCCGCUGUUUUACGGAGUCUUCAGCUUGUUUUUCAGUCACUCGGAAGAAAGCGGAAUCCACUUCCUGACAUCUGGACAAUACCUGUCAGUGCUGUGGCAGUCAGUCUUGGUUAACAGUGACAUAUUUAGCUCUAAAACAGUAAUUAGGGACAAUGUCACACCUAGGAGAGCCCCAUGGUGUUAUUCUUUAACUACACUAAACAGUGUUAUUGUUAUUUGAUGUUGGGGGCAGUGUGUGGCCCCGUGGGUGAGGAUACUGCACCCUAGAUAAGAAGUUUCUCUAUUCAAAUCCCACGGUCAGCAGAAAGAUUCCCCUAAGCAAGGUCCUUAAACCCCAACUGCUCUCGGAACUGACUGACUCUGCUUCCUCAGUUGUACCUCGCUUCAGCUAAAAGCAUCUGCUAAAUGAAUAGAUGUUUUUAUAUAAUACAUACCUGUUGUCAUUUACUUCUCCUGUAUCUUAUCGUAUAUAUUGGAGACAAAUGCUGUCAGUUUUUUGGCUUGUGCUACAAUACCAAAGGGAUCCUCUUUUCAGCUUUACACGCACUUAGGAGUGAUCUAUCGGAAAUAUCCCAGCAUCGGGCCCCCGAGUGCGCCUGACGGAAGCCAGAGAGCGCUGGAUGCUCGCCAAAAAUCGGGCCAACGCGUUAUUAUCAUACCUCCGCAGUCACAUGACCCAGGUGGGCUGGCCCUGAUGGCUCAUAAACCAGGAGGUUCACGGAGCCACUAAUAUGGGUCAGGGCGCCAAGUCGUGCCCCCCUGCGGCUGCAGGUGUACCAGACGAUAUCGUGCCACAAGAAUACAGAUCAGCAGGAUUCACAUAUUUCACCUCAUAAUAAGUGGGUGUGAAAUGCUUUGGUCUGUUUCCUUUUGUGUUUCAAGGUGAACUCGUCUGCCGCCCAGGGGAUGCAAUGUGUGAAUCCUAUUAGGGGUCAUAUGUAGGUGUUGUUUUUCUUUUUUUUUGCCGACAGGAAGUAGCUCUUUUGUUACAGUUUGGUGCAUUUUUGAAACUUACUCAAAAAAAGUAAAUUGUUGAAGUAUUAUAUCAUGAGCUUAUGAGACAUUCUGGGGUAAAGGGUGACUGGGUGAUUUAUGAACAUAGUAAUUAAUACUGAAUGCCUUGUGAACAACUGGAAUUAUGCUGCAUGUCGUGGAUUUAUUUUUAGGUCCUUAGAGAUUAGUGCUGUUUGCAGGGAGGCUGCACUCCUAGCCUUGCAGGAUGACAUCAAGGCCCAGAGCAUCAUGGGAAGGCAUUUUGACGGCGCCCUUGCCGUGGUGAAGCCGAGGAUUCCGGCCUCACUUAUCCAGUCAUACGUCCGCUACCAGGAGCAGAGUGGCUUGCACGUUCUCUGAUGUCUCACGUGGAAAAGAGGAAGAGUCAAGAAACGGCACAUUUCAUGGUGCGGCUCUCCUCAGACUACCUUUCUGCUCUAAAUCGGUUCACUUUCGGAGGCAGAAAAUGGCAUGUAUUGUGGCAGUUAGCAUUCGAGGAAGGAACCGCAAAGUUAUAUGCUGACUGACUGACUGCCCCCCUCAGCUGCCAGUAUAGCACACAGAGCUGACUGGCAAAUCCAAAAUGAAUACAAAUCAGAGAAUAUGCAUUCGUUUUCUGUUCCCUGUUCAUGUUUGUGUGCUCGUUUUAAAUAAAAAUAAGAUUUUUCCAUGA